rnacentral:rRNA from 1 species
CAGCAGUAGCCGCGGUAAUACGUAGGUGGCAAGCGUUGUCCGGAAUUAUUGGGCGUAAAGGGCUCGCAGGCGGUUUCUUAAGUCUGAUGUGAAAGCCCCCGGCUCAACCGGGGAGGGUCAUUGGAAACUGGGAAACUUGAGUGCAGAAGAGGAGAGUGGAAUUCCACGUGUAGCGGUGAAAUGCGUAGAGAUGUGGAGGAACACCAGUGGCGAAGGCGACUCUCUGGUCUGUAACUGACGCUGAGGAGCGAAAGCGUGGGGAGCGAACAGGAUUAGAUACCCCUGUAGUCCCUGUCUCUUAUAC